rnacentral:rRNA from 1 species
CUACAGGCUUAACACAUGCAAGUCGAGGGGCAGCAUGGUCUUAGCUUGCUAAGGCCGAUGGCGACCGGCGCACGGGUGAGUAACACGUAUCCAACCUGCCGUCUACUCUUGGACAGCCUUCUGGAAGGAAGAUUAAUACAAGAUGGCAUCAUGAGUCCGCAUGUUCACAUGAUUAAAGGUAUUCCGGUAGACGAUGGGGAUGCGUUCCAUUAGAUAGUAGGCGGGGUAACGGCCCACCUAGUCUUCGAUGGAUAGGGGUUCUGAGAGGAAGGUCCCCCACAUUGGAACUGAGACACGGUCCAAACUCCUACGGGAGGCAGCAGUGAGGAAUAUUGGUCAAUGGGCGAGAGCCUGAACCAGCCAAGUAGCGUGAAGGAUGACUGCCCUAUGGGUUGUAAACUUCUUUUAUAAAGGAAUAAAGUCGGGUAUGGAUACCCGUUUGCAUGUACUUUAUGAAUAAGGAUCGGCUAACUCCGUGCCAGCAGCCGCGGUAAUACGGAGGAUCCGAGCGUUAUCCGGAUUUAUUGGGUUUAAAGGGAGCGUAGAUGGAUGUUUAAGUCAGUUGUGAAAGUUUGCGGCUCAACCGUAAAAUUGCAGUUGAUACUGGAUAUCUUGAGUGCAGUUGAGGCAGGCGGAAUUCGUGGUGUAGCGGUGAAAUGCUUAGAUAUCACGAAGAACUCCGAUUGCGAAGGCAGCCUGCUAAGCUGCAACUGACAUUGAGGCUCGAAAGUGUGGGUAUCAAACAGGAUUAGAUACCCUGGUAGUCCACACGGUAAACGAUGAAUACUCGCUGUUUGCGAUAUACUGCAAGCGGCCAAGCGAAAGCGUUAAGUAUUCCACCUGGGGAGUACGCCGGCAACGGUGAAACUCAAAGGAAUUGACGGGGGCCCGCACAAGCGGAGGAACAUGUGGUUUAAUUCGAUGAUACGCGAGGAACCUUACCCGGGCUUAAAUUGCAGAUGAAUUACGGUGAAAGCCGUAAGCCGCAAGGCAUCUGUGAAGGUGCUGCAUGGUUGUCGUCAGCUCGUGCCGUGAGGUGUCGGCUUAAGUGCCAUAACGAGCGCAACCCUUGUUGUCAGUUACUAACAGGUUCCGCUGAGGACUCUGACAAGACUGCCAUCGUAAGAUGUGAGGAAGGUGGGGAUGACGUCAAAUCAGCACGGCCCUUACGUCCGGGGCUACACACGUGUUACAAUGGGGGGUACAGAGGGCCGCUACCACGCGAGUGGAUGCCAAUCCCCAAAACCUCUCUCAGUUCGGACUGGAGUCUGCAACCCGACUCCACGAAGCUGGAUUCGCUAGUAAUCGCGCAUCAGCCAUGGCGCGGUGAAUACGUUCCCGGGCCUUGUACACACCGCCCGUCAAGCCAUGAAAGCCGGGGGUACCUGAAGUACGUAACCGCAAGGAGCGUCCUAGGGUAAAACUGGUAAUUGGGGCUAAGUCAUAA